rnacentral:rRNA from 1 species
AGAUUGAACGCUGGCGGCGUGCUUAACACAUGCAAGUCGAGCGGUAACGCGGGAGCAAUCCUGGCGACGAGCGGCGAACGGGUGAGUAAUGCUUGGGAAUCUGCCCAUUAGUGGGGAACAACCAGCCGAAAGGUUGGCUAAUACCGCAUACGCCCUACGGGGGAAAGCGGGGGAUCGAAAGACCUCGCGCUAAUGGAUGAGCCCAAGUCGGAUUAGCUUGUUGGUAGGGUAACGGCCUACCAAGGCGACAAUCCGUAGCUGGUCUGAGAGGACGACCAGCCACACUGGGACUGAGACACGGCCCAGACUCCUACGGGAGGCAGCAGUGGGGGAAUAUUGGACAAUGGGGGCAACCCUGAUCCAGCGACGCCGCGUGUGUGAAGAAGGCCUGCGGGUUGUAAGCACUUUUAGUGGGGAUGAAAAGCUCAGGGUUAACACCUCUGGGUCUUGACCUAACCACAGAAAAGCACCGGCUAACUCUGUGCCAGCAGCCGCGGUAA